rnacentral:rRNA from 1 species
UACGGAGGGGGCGAGCGUUGUCCGAAGUUACUGGGCGUAAAGCGUGCGCAGGCGGUUAUGUAAGACAGAUGUGAAAUCCCCGGGCUCAACCUGGGAACUGCAUUUGUGACUGCAUAGCUAGAGUACGGUAGAGGGGGAUGGAAUUCCGCGUGUAGCAGUGAAAUGCGUAGAUAUGCGGAGGAACACCGAUGGCGAAGGCAAUCCCCUGGACCUGUACUGACGCUCAUGCACGAAAGCGUGGGGAGCAAGCAGG